GUACAUCUCACACCUGUCUCACUACUACCACAGCAUGUUCAGCCUGUACACCUGUCUCAUUCCUCCACCACGCCCGAACACACCCCCAGCUCCUCCUCAACUCUCGGUCAUACCUCCAGAUGGGUAUGUCCGGCCUGGUCAGGUGGUGGAGUUCCGUUGUCAGGCCCCGCCCACCCUUGCUCCUGUAUCAUUUGUCCUCCAGAAACAACAAAACAUGAUCCACUCCCAGAAUCCUCAGUUCAAGGUGGGGCCAGUGGGCGUGGCUGAUGGGGGCAUGUACAGCUGCUUCUACAUAUUUAACCUAUCAGAGGGAGUUCAAAAGUCUGUCCCCAGCGCACCUGUCUAUGUUAAUGUAGGAGUUAAGCUCCCAGCUCCGCAGUUAUCUCAGCGGGCAGAGGGGGCGCUAGUGUGCAUCGGGUCACCCUCCUACCCUGGUGCUUAUUUCUCCCUGUUCCAACAGGGUUCCUCAUCACCGAUAGCAACACAACACGCCCCCAAGAUUGAACACACCGUGCAAUUCACUGCAUCAGGGCAGCACUCGGAAGGAAGCAUGUACCAAUGUCAGUACAGUGUGCUGCUGGGUAAAAACUGGAUACAUUCUGAACUCAGCUCCCCCAUCGUACUGCAAUGUGUUACAGGAUCUCCUUCCUGCAGCUCAUCUUCUACAGAUAACCAUCCUCCACAUACAGGUUCAAUGGACCUGCCGUUGGUGUGUGGGUCCGUCUCAGCUGCACUGCUCUUCCUGAUGGUGCUCAUAAUCCUGGCCUUUGGGAUUCGCAAAUAUGCUAAAACAGCAGCCAAUAAAAGGAGACAAAGGGAACAGGAGCAGUUCUGGCAGCAGGUCCACUUCAGAGACCACAUCGUCGAUCUCACACUACAGAGAGUCAGCACUGGCUCCAAGGAGGAGGGAUUAACUUCAGUGUUGGAGCCCAUCUACGAAUCUCCAGUCAGCACAUUCACCCGCCCACCUGGCUACUGACACACUCGUGCGCUCUCUCUCUCUCUCUCUCUCUCUCUCUCUCUCUCUCGGCGACAGUGCAUAGUGAGAGCGCUACACACACAGACAGGUACAGCACACCUAAAUGGGCGGAGCAUGCCGAUGACAUGGCUGGGUUUUGGUUUGCAUGUAGUUACUUCAGUUUCUUUCUGACACAAAGGCAAACCGGGUCACACACACAAACGCUGAUCUCUCAGCAGUUUCUCUUCCUUUUUCUUUUUUAUUCGUCAUCAUCCUUUCAUUUAAUUACAUUCUUCACUCUUGUCCUUCUACUUUAUCUCAUUUACUCAUGGUUCUCUCUUUCUCCUCCUUCAUCUCAUUAUUUUUAUUUUAUUCCAUUUCUGUAUUCUCUCUCUCUCUCUCAGUAGCAUUUGCACGAUUUGGAUUUUGCAUUAAAGGCUCUUAUGUUUAUAAAAUGUCCUUUGAAAAUAAAUUAAUGCUUUAUUAAUGAUAUUUUAUGUAUGAAUACACAGAGAGAGAGAGAUUGCAGAAGGAAGUACAGACAUACUGUUGCUGGAGAGUUGAGCAAUAAAAGCACAUUAUAUCCUGUUAACUACAUCAUUAUCAUCAGUGGAUCAGUGCAAGCAAUGCUGCUUGUGUAACUAUGUACACUUUUAUUGAUCGCUAAAUGUUUGAGGUGUUAUGAACAUUUAUAACUCUGUAGAUGUUCAGUACAGACUGUACUCCAACAGGCUCAGUGAGAAGUGCAAAAUAACUCACUGUUCAUCCCAUUUAUAGCUGAAUGCAAAUUACACUUCUGUCUGGCUGUGUCUUUGUCUUUCCAAUACAGCUUUUUGACUUCCUCUAACCAGAGUGUGUAUUAGACACUUUAUUAGGUCUUCACUGCUCUCCUUAGUUUUUCAUCAUCAUUUUUAAAAAAAAAUUUUUAUUAUUAUUAUUUUUUUAUUUAUUUUUUUUAUCACAUUUCUGGUUAAAGCAUGUGUAAGUCAAUAAUAAAGAAAUGGUGUGGUCCAUUAUAGGGGGGAUUGGGUAGCAAAAUUAUAUUUUGGUAUUGGCAAUGAAAGUUAUUUUGUGUGUGUGUUUUAAGAACAUAUCCAACCUUUGUCUUUAAUCUCCUAUUAGUGAUCGGUGGAGUACAGGGAGGGUUAAUGUGUUAAUUCAGGAGUUCAGACCCCCUCAAGAACACCCUUUAGUCAAAAGUUCAUGGGCUGUUCCACAUCUUUAUCCGCUCAGGUGACAGUAUUUAAUGAGAAGAAAGGUGUAGAGAUGCUCCUGAGGCUAAUCUUAAUCACAUUAAUGAGCAUUAACAUUGAACAUUUUAGCCAAGUGUCUUCACAACAUCAGGAUUUUUAGUUCAUCUGGUUUAGCUUAAUUAGUCAGUUGUUGUUAAUCAGGGUUAGGUAAUCUGGUUAAAUUGAUCCUCAUUAUUUGAACUUUGGUUUUAGGUGAUCCGGUUUAGUAUUAGUUUGUAUUAUAAUAACCACUGCAAUUUAAUCUGUUCUUUAAGUAGUUAAAUUACCUACAUUGUGUAAAAACUGGUGUUAAUACUGAACACUAAAUUGAUUUUUUUAAAACCAUUUUUGUCCUAAA
ensembl:lncRNA